rnacentral:misc_RNA from 1 species
UGAAUAAUUUCCUGCCCAUGGAAAUGUGAAAUAUAAGCAACACAAAAAUUUGAGAUUAUCAAACCGAACCAUCGCAUCAAAGAUCAAUUGCUUGAGGCAAUUUCCACUGGUAGUCAAAUACAUGUAAACAAAGACCUCUAUCACACCUUUACCUUGACAUCCUACAAGCAAACUAACCCCAAGCAUGCUAACGAUGAACCCAAAGUAAAUGAGAAUAACAUUUCCGGUAUUGAAGAAUCCAUAACAGAAGAAAGUAGAUGUAACAAAAGUUAAGGUAACAGGCUUAUCCAUGAGAUUCGGCAGAUUUCACAAUUCAAUCUCUGAUGUUGCAAAUUGUUCCAACAGAACAAAAUCGGACUACAGAAAAAGGAAAAUAAUUGUCUAGUUUCAG